UGCAGAUUCAGGGAAGGAAUGAGAUUAGGUUGAGAAGGAUUUAAACCCAGUAAAUGGGUAAUACCUUAUUUUAAUUCCCCAUUCACGAAACAGAGAGAAAAGGAAGGGGAUGAAAUCCCUAAUCUUUUUUCACUUGCCACAUUCUAUCUUCUUCAUCCUCUCACUGUUCUUCUCCAUUUUUUACUUUCAUUCUUCUCUUUCGACCGGUUCUGGUGAUGGGUUGCUUUUUGGUUUCUUUUUGGUAAGUGAGUCGAGGGAGAAUGAAGACGGUGCGGUGAAAUGGUCCAUCGUGGUCUCCAAUUUGGGGUUCUUACUCUCGCAGUGGUCACGGUGAGGUGCGAUGGCUCAAGGUUCGGGUCGCGGUGGCUUUCUGACUCGGGGUUUCCCUUCUCACGAUGAUCACCAAAAUGAGGUAUGGAUUUAGUUACCGUCUUCAACUAAUUACUUCGGAAAGGGUUGGGAUUACCGGUUUCUUAACAACUGGAAAAUGAUUCCUUUAUUGGAGUUACUAGGAAAUUAGGGGUAUGCUCUCCCAUAAGCUUGAUCCCGUUUGUUAGAUAAUUCUUUAAUUAAGUCUCAGAUUCGUGUUACCGACACAUCAUGAUGAUAAAGAUGAGCAUCCUUAGUUAUUGCUUUUCAUUUUAACAACAUACAUAUAGGGCUCUUACUGAAUGUAUAUGUCUAUUUUGCUAUUCCAGAUGUAUAAUAAGUAAAACGUCAUUUUGCUUGUAUUUCAUGAAUAAAAUAAAAAAAUCUCUUUUGAGAUUAACUUGCGUUUCAACUUAGCACAAACAUAUACGUUUCUGAAUAACCGGGUAAACAACAUGCAGUUAAUGUAAGCAUAUGUAUUUAGAAUGCAAACUAAAAUAUAAAGGAUAUGUCUACUGAAUACAUCUUUUAUGAUCAGAAUGCUUACCUGAUUGUAUGAUUAUCCUGGUAUUUUGAGUGUAUGCUCAGUGUUGUGAUGUGAGUUCUGAAUGUCCUAUCCUCUUUUUGAUAAUUGUGCGAUCUGUGGUCUGAUUGUUGAUUUAUGGGUGUGAUAUAUCACUCUUUGGUUAUGAUAUAUGCGUUGCAAAUGUAGUUAUUCUUAGACUCAUGUGAUAUGUCUCUAUAACAAUUGUGUACGGACUGUUCUCUGGUUUUUGUAUGGUUGUGUAUUCACCUCUUUCUCUAUCAAUGUGUAUGUGUAAUCUCCUAUCAGCAUGCUCUCCCCCUAACUGUUGCAGUGUCCAUCCUUUUAUACUGAUUGAGGGUUCAUGGAAACCUCUUGAGUUGCCAAUUGAAAUCCAACGUGAGACCCUUUGUUUUUCUGAUUGUUCCAUUUUGAUUAUUCCACUUUAAUGCUGCCCCUCAUUGCUUAUUCAUGCUGAUUAUUGCAUCUGUAACUGAUGAGGGAUCCUUGGUCUUCUGAAGGGUUUAUGAUAGCUUUCUGGCAGCUCACUAUUGCUCUAAUAGCUCAAUAACUUCCUUUAUUCAUAACGUUUAUGACUGUUUGUAACUGAAAAGGGGAAUAGCUUUUAUGCUUAACAAAUGGUCUCUACCGCUGGAUCUUCUCCUUACCUUCCAUACUAUCGAAAUUAUGAUUGUUUCGGCGAAUGAAUGAAUUUUGACUUUAUCACUGGUUAGUGUGCUCAUCGCUGCUAUUUAUUAGAAUUGUAACUGCAUGCCUAAUAGUAUCUGGUUUAUUUCCAUGAAUGUCAAUUUAUUCCCCUCUGAAUCCGGUUUACUGUUUGCAUUCUGUUUGUUUCUUCUUGGCUUGAAUAUCUUUGGAUCUGGUUUACUAUUUGAAAUGGUUUAUUACAGGACGUUUCUUUUCAUACUAAUCUAUCCAAUAUCUGAAUUUGGAUUUCCAGGGAGUAUGCUUUGAUUAACUGGAGAGUGAGAAGCCGCGAGGAAAGUUGUGUGAGAAGGAGAUCCUCUAUGAAAAAGAAAAUUUGUGCUCCAUGAAGGCUGACUUGUUGGCACUUUGUGGCUGGAAGUUCUCAUUGCUUAUUAUAUCCAUUUUGGGACUGAGAAGGCAUGUUGGGAGCUCUUAGAGAUCCAACUGGGGAGUUGAAUCCACUGUACAUGUGGCCAGUUGAUUGUAAAUGGAUGCGCGUCUGAACAUGUACCAUUAUAAAAUGAAGGGUCUAGUUGCAUAUGGAAAUGGUGGUGCUUUAAUCAUAAUCAUCAAAUAGCAUAAAGCUGUUGCUAUAGGUGAGAUUUAAGAAAGAAACCAUUUUCCCUUCGUGAGAUUAGCAAUAAUGAGCUUGUUGAUUGUAUGUUGGGUUAAAUUUUAAACUUAUAGCACUGUUGUAAAGUAGCUGAAAUUGCUACUUAACCUUGUGAAGACAUCAUGGCAUGUUUCACUAGCUAGUUCUUGAACUUCUAGCUUUUGUAUUACUCAUUGUUUAACUUUCUGUUUCAAUGAAAACGAGAAAGUUAAUUUUUUGGCAAGCUCAUAAUUGGUUUUAUUUAUUGCUUCUUGCGGUUUUUACGUGCUUUAGGAGGAUGAUGAGGGAUAAGGGUCUCUUGUGUAAUUUCUAAGAGUUUGUAUUUGAUGGCUUCAAACAUGACUAUAUACCUUAUUUGUUGUAAUUGGUUGUUAGAUGAUUGUGCCAGUUAUUACUUUUAUAAAAUGAUAGUCAAUGCAAUAUUCUUAAUCCAAGUGUUCAUAGUGA
rnacentral:lncRNA from 1 species